CCCCCUACAGGUGAUCAGAAAGGUGGUUUGGCGCGUGGCCAACUCUGAGGAAAGGAGGGAAAGUGAAGGCGAGAAAGAAGGAGCUGGUGGUGGUGGUGGUGGUGGCGGUGUAGCAACAGGUGGAGCAGACGCCGCUUCUCCUUCUCCUCGAGCAGGGGCCUCAGGGGGGAAGGGCAAGAAGAGAGGGAAACGCUCCAGACAGGGCCACAAGGCGGAGAAGUCUGGAGAGGAGGCCCAGAGAGGGAAAACUGAGUCUGGAGACGGUGCCAACAAGAAACAAGGGAAGAAGAGUCAGUCAUAACAGUGGAGCUCUGAACCUAAGCUGGUCCAGUGACGUCCACCUGCGACACCACACACACCCUGGACAGGAAAAACAAACUGGAGUCCCUGAAAACAGAGACAACGCCUCGUCAAUCAGCCAAAAUACGUGUCUGACGCUUUCACUCUACAACGCAUGGUCUUCAACAAGGCGACCCAAAACAAGUUACUUUUCUUUGAUUUCGCAUGAGCAUGUCACCAAACUCACUCACUCACUGUCCGGACACGACACAGAAGGACACGCACGGACAUGAGCUGGAACUUUUUCUUUCGUCUUUCGCGAAUGAACGGCGUCUGAGGCCAAAGACGACAUCGACGGGGAAAAAAAACUAAAAGACGUGUGAGUCACUCUCUCUCUCAGACACUCGCCUUAUAUGGUCUAUUUUUUUCCUCCCGGACCCAGUGUUGGGCUGCACCACGUGGUUCUUUUUUAAAAAAUGAAAUAUAAUAGUAAAUGGGGGAUUUUGUUGUAUAUAAGUGACACUGUAUAAAAAUCUUUUAAAAAAAAAAAAAAUCAGUAGCUUCACAGAUUGUUUAUGCACUGAUUUGAGUUGAAGCUUUGCAGAGUCGAUGCAUUUGUAUCGAGGUCGACAGAGUGAGACCUGACGUGCUCUUCCCAAAUUAAAUCAUUAAAAAACUCCAUGUAAACGGGAAACAAAAAAACUGCUCGAUUUCAAACGGACGUUUCUUUAAACAGCUUCUUCCGCUCAGUCUGUGGAACAUUGUCGUCAGAGAAAUGAUAACGUUGCUGCAUGUGACGUCAACUUAAUUUUAACGCUUUUCUUUCGUUUCCCCCCUAAUUCAAAGCUCUGUCAUACGAUCUGGUGAUUCUGUCGCGAUAACUCAACCAUCUGUCAUCAAUUAACUGUUUUUAUUUUUUUUUUUAUAAGACGCACUCAAGCAGCAAGAUAACAAAGCUUCAUUUUUACGCAUCAGCAAGUUACUGAGGUUCCCUGAAUGUAACCUGCUGACCUGCAACAUUGCAUUUUCUCCACACUGCUCGCAGCCCCGUGUGUGUGUGUGUGUGUGUGUGUGUGUGUGUGUGACAUUAAAUAAAAACUUUCUGUAUCUCGUCUAUCAAGCAAACUAGAAGUGAGAGUGUCGGCUUCGGGUCUGCUGUGGUUUUUAAAAAGGGGACUUUUAUUUUAUUUUGAUGGUUUGAUGACUUGUAUCUUUAUUUAAUUUACACUAGAACAGAGGAUUGAAUUUUUUUUUUUAGCCCCGCCACUCACGCCUGAUCCUUUUUAUUAACGACUAAAAUCACAGAAAAGAAAUCGGUGUUAAUCAAACAUUAAAAAUCGGAUUUUCUGUUCUUCUGUAAGUCACUUUGUUUUUCUUUUCAUACGAAGCCACCCUGCGAAUCCAUUGUUGAUGAUGAAUCUGGUACCGACAUGUAUGAUGAACCGACAUAGCUUACACUGGAUGAUCCAAGUAAUUAUUUAAGCAGAAAAAUAAAUUGUGUUUAAACUACA